rnacentral:rRNA from 1 species
AUUCGCUAGUAAUCGCGCAUCAGCCAUGGCGCGGUGAAUACGUUCCCGGGCCUUGUACACACCGCCCGUCAAGCCAUGGGAGCUGGGGGUGCCUGAAGUUCGUGACCGCAAGGAUCGACCUAGGGCAAAACCGGUGACUGGGGCUAAGUCGUAACAAGGUAGC